UCGUGUCCGGUUAGAGCGAGCCGUCUGGCCCCAGCGCGGUAGAGGUAGAGGGUCGGGGCCCGCCCUGCACCCUAGGCAGCGGGGUUUGCCGAUGGGCGUGCAUUGGAAAGGGGGCACAGUGGGCUGAGAGGGUUUGGAGCGCGGAGGUUGCCAAGAGCGGUCGCUCUUGAACUUUUGGCCUCCAAGCACACUAGCGUUUACUUCUCUACGCCUCCUGAACGUCAGAAGCCAAGUGGGGGAGAAGCCAGGGUCUUGUGAAAUGCUCAGAACACAUGCGUAAAACUACAGCAGGGUUGGGCUGGAGUGAAAUCAGCAACGUACCAAAACCAUGAAACACAGAAACAACUGCUUCUUCCAGACGUUUGACAUACCACCCAGAAGGCAGUGUGGAGAAGAGGAAAGAGUGAAGAUUUUAAAGUCAGACAAGCCUGGGCAUUCACUUAAUGACUGGGCGGCCAUUGCUAAUAACGCAAAGGGAUACGAAAACAGUACACAGAAUACAGGAAUAAUUCACAACUCAAAAUUAUGCAAAAGAGCUAAUGCUCUUCUUCAGUUUGUGUGCAUCUAAUAGACGGUCUUAAUAAAGAAGCUAAUGAGUAUCUGAUAACACCGUGCAGCGUAAACAUAAGGAGGAACCUAACAGGCUCACUAAUCAUGGAACAAAUCUUUUUCUGUGGACAGGCAGAAAAUGCAAAAUCAUAGAACGACUGCAUCUGGACUAGAGGAAAAGAAUUCCUGCUCUCCUAUUAAUUCCAAGAAGGUAGAUUAAGACUUCAAAUCCCAUUAAAGAUAAAUGCCUUAAAAUGCUUGAGUACUUUAUUAUCAGAGAUUUUCCCUCUGGAUGCUGCAAUUUAAGAUUUUUAAAGGAAGAGUUAUACUUUAGAGCUCAGGAGAGGUGUCUUUUUAAAAAAUUUAUUUUUAAUUCAAGUCUAAUUAAUAUACAAUGUUAUGUCAGUUUCAGGUGUACCAUAUAAUGAUUCCACAAUUCCAUACAUUUCCAGUGCUCAUCAAGUUAAAUGUAGUCUUAAUCCCCUUAAUUUAUCUCCACCCCGCCCCCUGCAACCACCAGUUUAUGCUCUGUAUUUAAGAGUCUGUUUUUUGUUUGUCUCUUUUUUUUCUUUGUUUGCUCAUUUGUUUUGUGUCUUAAAUUCCACAUAUAAGCGAAAUCAUGUGGUAUUUGUUUUUCUCUGCCUGCCUUAUUUCACUUAGCAUCGUAGUCUCUAGGUCCACCCAAGUUGUUGCAAAUGGCAAGAUCUCAUUAUUUUUAUGGCUGAGUAAUAUUCCAUAGAAGUCUCCAUUUGCGUCAGUGGGGAGUAUCAAUUUAUAGUUGUUUUCUAUGAAAUUCUGUGUGUUGGGAUUUGAGCUGUAUUAAUUGUUUUAGGGCUUUCUCUCAAUAUUCUUGAGAAACUUAAGAAAGCUUGUGGACAGUCCCAGUGUGCUUUUCCUCCCUCACAUCAGUCUCCAGACUCAGCUCUCCCACCUCCCAGUCCCCAAGACCACUUCUUAGUGAAGGCCACCACCACUUCUCCUAGUGGCUUUCUGACUUCUAGUGCCCUCCCUGCUCCUUGUUCUCCUUACCCCUCUGUAGGAUCUCUAUACUCUGCCCAGAGAGAUUGUCCUCAAUUGUGAGUGUGGUCCUAUUGUUUCCAAUCCUUUGAGCAUUGUCUGUAAAUUCCUUUGCAAUAUCUCCUUUCAUCUCCACCAUUCCUGCCACCUUCUCAGUGUGACCUUGUUCUUUGUUUCAAGCCUUUUCUCACUCAGUAUCCCCUUCCAGGAACUCUCUUUCCAGUAGCAUCCCUGGUUUCCUGCACCCAAACAAACAAUGCUUGUUUGCAAAGUCGCUGCUUGGAGGCUGUUUCCUCCAACUCACCUUGCCAAAUCCUGAAAAUCUGAAUUUAUAGAGCACCUUCCCUUUUCUCUCCCUA